CUCAAUACCAAACUCAACCUCUCUCUCAGGAGGUAAACCAGGCAACUCCUCUGGAAACACAUCCGAAAAAUCACAUACUGUGGGUAUAUCAUGGACACUAGGAGAUUCUGACUCUGGAGCAAGUACACAGGCUAAGUAGGCCUCACAACCAUGCUGGAUCAGUCUUCUCGCAGUAGAAGCAGAAAUAACGUUAGAGAGGUAAUCCGACCUCUCACCCACAACUACAAUCUCCUCACCAGAUGAAGUCUGGAGUGUAAUCCUCUUA
rnacentral:lncRNA from 1 species